ensembl:lncRNA
UAAAUGCAAUAAAUUGUAUCCUUAAUUAUAUAUUUAUUAAGUUAGAAUAUCAUGCCAGUGCUUUGUUAGCUAUACAUCAUUAUGUAAAAUGCUAUAAAAUAAAUGUUGAAACAUUUAUCAUUUAAACAUUACUGUUGAUGCUCAGAAAAACUGUGCUUGUAAUGUUUGCCAUUUAUCAAAGCAAACAAGCAUCUUGAUCACAAAUCUUUCCAGCCUUGAGCCUAAAACCCGCUAGCUUAUCAAAUCCCAGACAGUAGUAACACUAGCUUGUUUCAGCUGUGACUACUAACCCACUACUGUACAGAAGUCACUUGCCCGCAGUUGUUUUUCUGGUUUCUCUUCUCUCUCCCUAAAGGAGCCAUUGAAAUUUGGUGUAAAAAGAGUAGCAGUGGGUGUAGGGUGUCUCAAGGCGAAUGUGAACAGCUGAGGUGUGAUUUCACAGGCUCGCUCUGCCCUGUCACGGCCCUGAUUGGGUUGGACAGCAGGCAGAGGAGAGGCCCUGGCUUCUAAAGGACACCAACAGGUGGAGGACCGCGGGGCAGAGGGGGGAGUAUAAGGGAGGCUGAGCGCUUAAAAAAAGCCGGGAGCAUGUGGCCAUGUCUGGGCAGAAUCCACCAGUCAUGCAAAGAGGACCAUACACUGUAGCACUCAGCAGAAGAGGAAAGAUGGGAACAGAAAGCAAAUGGAAGAUUUUACACCUCUGCCACUGGAAAUGGUGCUGAUAAAGGAAAUGGAGAUGUUCGAGUGCUAGAUGUGCUAGUCCUCUCCUGCUUGGCUGACUAACCUCCAUGUACUUCCUUGUCUAUGGACACUUGUCAACACAAAAAUAAUGAUGAAAAGGAGGAAAUAACUACAUACAGGUACAUUUAGAUUGUCUUUGCACUUGAGCUGUAAUAUUACUAAUUCUACCGAGAGUAUUUUUUAUUUUUUUUUAAGUGAACAGCAAAUGUUUGAAUGAAUGCUAAAUACUGCUUUUUUGUGUUUCUGGACAAUAUAUUUGCAUCCACUUUAUAAGAGUUAUCCAGCAUUUUGCUUCGACUUUCUCUAUAACUUAAUGUAGUUAUGAAGCAGAAAAAUAAAAUAAAUAUAUUGUUUGAAAAAUGUAUCA